rnacentral:rRNA from 1 species
ACGUAGGUGGCAAGCGUUGUCCGGAUUUACUGGGCGUAAAGGAUGCGUAGGUGGAUAUUUAAGUGGGAUGUGAAAUACCCGGGCUUAACUUGGGUGCUGCAUUCCAAACUGGAUAUCUAGAGUGCGGGAGAGGAGAGUGGAAUUCCUAGUGUAGCGGUGAAAUGCGUAGAGAUUAGGAAGAACACCAGUGGCGAAGGCGACUCUCUGGACCGUAACUGACACUGAGGCAUGAAAGCGUGGGGAGCAAACAGG